CAACUCCUUUCUCUGGGCCUCGGUUUCCCCAAGGGCAACCCAGGGUGAUGGCUGUUUCCAGAAGCCUGUACGGGGUGCCUGCUGGGGCGGGGCCCACAGGGGUCCUAGCGGGGCAGAGGUGGGGGGUGCCAGCCACGCCCCUGCCCUGCUCCCCGCAAAAGCGCCUGUGUGCUCGGGGUAGGGGGCGGCUGCCGCAAGGGUGGGACCAGCGGGUUCCGAGGCUUUCCUGGUGGUGGAGACGCGCCGAGGCCGUUUCCACUCCAAGCGCUUUUCCAGGUGGUGAGCCGGCUGGGCCUGGACUCCCUGUGCCCCUUCAGCCCUAAGGAGCGGAUCAUCGAGUACCUGGUCCCUGAGCGCGGGCCUGAGCGAGGCCUGGGCAGCAAGUCCCUGCGCGCCUUCGUGGGGGAGGUGGGUGCCCGCUCGGCGGCCCCCGGGGGCGGCUCGGUGGCGGCGGCCG
rnacentral:sRNA from 1 species